ACGGAAGGCAGCAGUGGGGAAUAUUGCACAAUGGGGGAAACCCUGAUGCAGCGACGCCGCGUGAGUGAAGAAGUAUUUCGGUACGUAAAGCUCUAUCAGCAGGGAAGAAAAUGACGGUACCUGACUAAGAAGCCCCGGCUAACUACGUGCCAGCAGCCGCGGUAAUACGUAGGGGGCAAGCGUUAUCCGGAUUUACUGGGUGUAAAGGGAGCGCAGACGGCAGUGCAAGUCUGAAGUGAAAUCCCGGGGCUCAACCCCGGAACUGCUUUGGAAACUGUACAGCUAGAGUGCAGGAGAGGUAAGCGGAAUUCCUAGUGUAGCGGUGAAAUGCGUAGAUAUUAGGAAGAACACCGGUGGCGAAGGCGGCUUACUGGACUGUAACUGACGUUGAGGCUCGAAAGCGUGGGGAGCAAACAGGAUUAGAUACCCUGGUA
rnacentral:rRNA from 1 species